CCUACGGGUGGCUGCAGUGGGGAAUAUUGCACAAUGGGCGAAAGCCUGAUGCAGCAACGCCGCGUGAGCGAUGAAGGCCUUCGGGUCGUAAAGCUCUGUCCUAAGGGAAGAAGUUUGACGGUACCUUAGGAGGAAGCCCCGGCUAACUACGUGCCAGCAGCCGCGGUAAUACGUAGGGGGCGAGCGUUAUCCGGAAUCACUGGGCGUAAAGGGUGCGUAGGCGGCCAAUAGAGUCUGGGGUGAAAGGCUACGGCUCAACCGUAGUAAGCCUUGGAAACUUAUUGGCUUGAGUGCAGGAGAGGAGAGUGGAAUUCCUAGUGUAGCGGUGAAAUGCGUAGAUAUUAGGAGGAACACCAGUGGCGAAGGCGACUCUCUGGACUGUAACUGACGCUGAGGCACGAAAGCGUGGGGAGCGAACAGGAUUAGAUACCCUAGUAGUC
rnacentral:rRNA from 1 species